GGAAUAUACAGAAUUUAUUAAACAAAAUGGCAAAAUUCACUUUCGUUCUAUUGGCUUUAGUCGCCGUAGUUGUUCUUGCAACAACCGAAGUUAGCGCAGGUAAAAUAUCAGAGCUUAACGUUCAAUUUUCUUUGGGAGAUAGCUGCGAAUGCAACGCUUGCACACAACAAUGUACUUCUCAAGGGUCAGGAUACAUUGGAGGUAUUUGUUACCAAGGUCAAUGUUACUGUGCACAACAAGGAUAAAUAAAAUAUGAAAGUUAAAAAUUUUGAAAUUGAAAUUAAUUGAAAAAUUGUUGUCGUGUUAUUUUUAUUAUAAAAAAUAAAAUAUAUGAAAUGUAUCUAA